UACGUAGGGGGCAAGCGUUGUCCGGAAUCAUUGGGCGUAAAGAGCGUGUAGGCGGCCUGAUAAGUCGGCUGUGAAAGUCAAGGGCUCAACCCUUGAAUGCCGGCCGAUACUGUCAGGCUAGAGUCCGGAAGAGGCGAGUGGAAUUCCUGGUGUAGCGGUGAAAUGCGCAGAUAUCAGGAAGAACACCAAUGGCGAAGGCAGCUCUCUGGGACGGUACUGACGCUGAGACGCGAAAGCGUGGGGAGCGAACAGG
rnacentral:rRNA from 1 species